UACAGAGGGUGCAAGCGUUAAUCGGAAUUACUGGGCGUAAAGCGUGCGUAGACGGUUAUGUAAGUUAGGUGUGAAAGCCCCGGGCUCAACCUGGGAAUUGCAUUUAAGACUGCAUAGCUAGGGUGCGGAAGAGGGAAGCGGAAUUUCCGGUGUAGCGGUGAAAUGCGUAGAUAUUCGCAAGAACACCAGUGGCGAAGGCGGCUGACUGGUCCGGUUCUGACGCUGAGGCGCGAAAGCGUGGGGAGCAAACAGG
rnacentral:rRNA from 1 species